rnacentral:rRNA from 1 species
GGGGAAUAUUGCACAAUGGGCGCAAGCCUGAUGCAGCAACGCCGCGUGAGUGAAGAAGUAUUUCGGUAUGUAAAGCUCUAUCGGCAGGGAAGAAAGGCCCGAAAGGGAGAUGACGGUACCUGACUAAGAAGCCCCGGCUAACUACGUGCCAGCAGCCGCGGUAAUACGUAGGGGGCAAGCGUUAUCCGGAUUUACUGGGUGUAAAGGGAGCGCAGACGGCAGUGCAAGUCUGAUGUGAAAGCCCGGGGCUCAACCCCGGAACUGCAUUGGAAACUGUACAGCUCGAGUGUCGGAGAGGUAAGCGGAAUUCCUAGUGUAGCGGUGAAAUGCGUAGAUAUUAGGAGGAACACCGGUGGCGAAGGCGGCUUACUGGACGAUAACUGACGUUGAGGCUCGAAAGCGUGGGGAGCAAAC